UACGUAGGGAGCAAGCGUUGUCCGGAAUCAUUGGGCGUAAAGCGCGCGUAGGCGGCCCUGUAAGUCCGUUGUGAAAGUCAAAGGCUCAACCUUUGAAAGCCGAUGGAUACUGCGGGGCUAGAGUCCGGAAGAGGCGAGUGGAAUUCCUGGUGUAGCGGUGGAAUGCGCAGAUAUCAGGAGGAACACCGAUGGCGAAGGCAGCUCGCUGGGACGGUACUGACGCUGAGGCGCGAAAGCGUGGGGAGCGAACAGG
rnacentral:rRNA from 1 species